CACCGCUCCCCACGUUCUCCCAUGACCUAUCCAUCUCUCCCGAUUCGACCUGGAAUACAUCCCACGAUCCCCCACACAGCACGGAGGGAAAACAGCCCGAAGUUCCUCGCGAUAGCCCUUGCUGCGCGUCGAUGGUGCCGCAUCGCCGCCCCACGAUUCAGACCGGCGCCUCACCGUGCCCUCAUCCGAGCCUUCUCUCCACGCUCCACCGCUUCUCCAGGCGCCAAUAUCUGGGGCUCUCCGCAAUGCCCGAUGCUCCGGCGGUGAGCCGUACUGCAGUAGGGAGGAGGAGCCGGCGGCAGACAGAGAAGUACAUGGAGGUGGUGGUGGAAGGGAAGGGGACGGGGACAUAAUCGAGGGCGAGCAAGGCACCAAUGUCGUACAGUCCAAACUCAUCUGGGACAUGUGUCCAGUCCACCAUCUCGCUCGCCUGGGAGACCGCCCAACUUGAUUAAAUAUGUUAUCUUGCCCAAUACUUUCCUCAUGUGGCUGUUAUGACGAGCACCUUUCUUUGUGGCGGUGAUGUAUUAAAUAAUCUCUAACAAAUUAAUACGCUUAAAUGGUGAUGCCACUGCUCAAAUCCAAACACUGAAGAACGCAUAUAUAUUGCAUGGUCUGCCAUCGGAGCACCUUUGGAGGAAGAAGUUCACCUCAAGCCAUCGGAGUGAAAUUCUCAUUGCCAUAACCAGCUUUCACAGGGAAGCAUAAGGGUCAAAAGAGUGAGGACCUUAACGCGCAAUAGCGUGGACCAGUGGACGAGGAUGAUAUCAUGGAGUCAGGAGAAAGGCUUGUUGGAAGUAGAAUAUAAUGAGGCAAUGUUAUGUUCUUUUUUCUAUUAAUUAACUUUACAGUGAUAUGUGUUGAAAGCCUGAAAGUGUAGGCCAUACCAAGGUUGAUGACAUCAAAAUGAUGUAAACAAUUAUCCAUCUCUUGAUUCAUUGCAGAUCUGAAAUUUGGAAAAGGCAAUAUUAAUCUUCCCCACUAAAUGGUUGUAUUAUGCCCCCAGUAUCAAUGAGUCCUGGUUUACAAAGAGUCGGACUCACAGACGUUGAUCCAAGCACUCAAUGCCGGUGAUUUUUAUGUGGCGGAUUAUGGUGUACUACCUCAUAAUGUGAGGAGUACCUGCAUGGCGACCGUCUGAUAGGCAUGAGUUUAUCUUUUGCUGUUUUCAUGUAAUUCUGUUGCCCAUGCCAUAGCGAAAUUUGGGUACCAUUCGGCUACGGCUUCUAUAUUCUGGCUAGAGUCUAACCCAGACUUUGUAUCAAUUUUGGUUGCCAAUGACUCUGCUGAGCUUCUUGGUUAAUGAAAUCAUUUGAAAAUA